AAUGGGCGAAAGCCUGACGGAGCAACGCCGCGUGAGUGAUGAAGGUCUUCGGAUCGUAAAGCUCUGUUGCAGGGGAAAAAGAAAGUGAUUGUACCCUGCGAGGAAGGGACGGCCAACUUCGUGCCAGCAGCCGCGGUAAUACGAAGGUCCCUAGCGUUGUUCGGAAUUAUUGGGCGUAAAGCGCAUGUAGGUGGCUUUAUAAGUCAGGUGUGAAAGCCCCGGGCUCAACCUGGGAAGUGCACUUGAAACUGCAAAGCUUGAGUACGGAAGAGGUGAGUGGAAUUCCUGGUGUAGUGGUGAAAUACGUAGAUAUCAGGAGGAACAUCGGCGGCGAAGGCGGCUCACUGGUCCAGUACUGACACUCAGAUGCGAAAGCGUGGGGAUCAAA
rnacentral:rRNA from 1 species